GAUGAACGCUGGCGGCGUGCCUAGUACAUGCAAGUCGAGCGAACAGACGAGGAGCUUGCUCCUCUGACGUUAGCGGCGGACGGGUGAAUAACACGUGGAUAACCUACCUAUAAGACUGGGAUAACUUCGGGAAACCGGAGCUAAUACCGGAUAAUAUAUUGAACCGCAUGGUUCAAUAGUGAAAGACGGUUUUGCUGUCACUUAUAGAUGGAUCCGCGCCGCAUUAGCUAGUUGGUAAGGUAACGGCUUACCAAGGCGACGAUGCGUAGCCGGCCUGAGAGGGUGAUCGGCCACACUGGAACUGAGACACGGUCCAGACUCCUACGGGAGGCAGCAGUAGGGAAUCUUCCGCAAUGGGCGAAAGCCUGACGGAGCAACGCCGCGUGAGUGAUGAAGGUCUUCGGAUCGUAAAACUCUGUUAUUAGGGAAGAACAAAUGUGUAAGUAACUAUGCACGUCUUGACGGUACCUAAUCAGAAAGCCACGGCUAACUACGUG
rnacentral:rRNA from 1 species